rnacentral:rRNA from 1 species
UACGAAGGGGGCUAGCGUUGUUCGGAUUUACUGGGCGUAAAGCGCACGUAGGCGGAUCGUUAAGUCGGGGGUGAAAUCCUGGAGCUCAGCUCCAGAACUGCCUUCGAUACUGGCGAUCUCGAGUCCGGAAGAGGUGAGUGGAACUCCUAGUGUAGAGGUGGAAUUCGUAGAUAUUAGGAAGAACACCAGUGGCGAAGGCGGCUCACUGGUCCGGUACUGACGCUGAUGUGCGAAAGCGUGGGGAGCAAACAGG